AAUCGCGCAGACAUUGAUCUGAAAAUAAACGUCCAAAAUGGUGUCAUUUCCCGUCUGUUUUGCAAGAAAAUGUAAAAGCCUACGUGUGUGGAAGUCCACGUUUACAAUACCGUUUGUGUAUGUGUGCGUAUGAGUGAGAGAGGGAGAAAUGGGGUCAGACUGAAGAUUUCCUUGCACGGGCAACAAGAAGCAUUUUGUCAUGAAGUACACAUCAGCAUUGUCACGUCUGUUCUCCGGAGAUUAUUCUGUGUACCUUGUAUGAUGUUAGAAUUUUAUCAACAUGUGCAUUGUUCUCCAUGUAGAUGUGUAUCUAUGCACCAUGUCACGCCCGACCUCCAUUCAGGCGUUCAAAAACACUGCGCCAGAUUGUCAUUGUACUUUAUCACCUGUUUGUGACUGAAGCGUCAUCAUCUAUUUUUGGGAUGGAGACUAGUCUGGUUUGAUUAUUAAUAAAUGUCAUCAAAGAGGAGAUCACGAAGGGUAUUUACUGAGAAAGAUAUUUCAGCAUGUAAUGGUAAAUCCCAAUGUAUUUCCACACUUUAACUGAUAGUUUACAGCCCAUUGGAUACAGCACAUUGAAAAAUUUCAGUUAGGUGUUCCGCUGACUUUUAAUAAUGUAAAUUAAGCAUAAAUCACUAGAUUAUAUUUCCCAACCCAGUCUAGAUACACACUAAUUUACUACUGCAAUACAGAACACAAUACAGGACAACGACAAAUCAGAACGGCGAAUAUGAUCCUUUGUUAAAUCAUUUUGUGUACUUCUGUGAGCAGUAGAUGGCAGUAUUUGUUGCAAAAUAAUUUUUCGAAAGCCUAUGAUUCGGGGAAUGGUUCAAGGACGUCUAUAGACUUCCCUUUGUUUCCCAAAACCUAGGACGGAACUCUCAGAACUUUUAAUGUGACGAAUUGCCCAGUAACACGAGAAGUUUAUGAGUUCUGUUUAAUGGAGGAAGGAAUUUUAUUUAAGCAGAGUGUUGUGACCUGUUUUUAAAGAAUCGAACUAAUGCAGACUUUCCUAAAGUCGCGUCGCGAACCUUCCGGUUGAAGAAAGAAGCGCGAUGCAGACAGUGUGCAGCAUGGUGUCACUUUUAUAUCGUGACAGAGAAACCGACUGCGAUAAACAUGCACGGCGAGCCUCCCCGUACUGCUGUGCCACAGUUUAAAAAAGCCUGUCAAACGAGUUCUGCAGUGACCGAGGCAAACACACAGAGGCGCACACGCGUUCACAUACCACAGGUACAGCGCGAUCGAUCGGGCACGCCCCGCCGAGAGGCGCUCGCAUGAAGGAUGUGAAUGUGUUGCCUCAGUUCAAAGCGCUAGGCAUUCCUGUGCGACAGUGAUGGAUCUUGGCAUUUUGGAGACAGCAGGGACUGUGGGAUUGUUUAAAAUUGUAUGCAGUUUCCUCUCUUUGCCCACCCUCAGAGACUCACAAAACUCUGUCAGCUUCUGCUGCAGCUGCCUGCUGUUCUUCACAGAUUUCUCUGUCACAGCAUUCCUUGCGUUUCUAUGGAUGGCCACGCCUUGGCAGCCUCGGUUUGAGGUGUCCAAUGACGAAAUUGCCCUGCGCCUCCUGCUGUUCCUUGACCACACCUAUGGGGCGGUGCUGUUGAUGACAACACCUCUUGUCACCGUGGACACAGUUUGCAGGGCACUGUGGCCAGCGGGCGGACGUGUGGAGCAGGACGAGGGUAACUUCGGAGAUGGAGACAGGAGGAG